UGCCCCUUUGUAAAGUUUUGAUAAAAGGUUUGUUCUGCUCAGUGAUUUUAAACAGCCGCGGUAAUUUGACCGUGCAAAGGUAGCAUAAUCAUUUGCCUUGUAAUUGAGGGCUGGUAUGAAUGAAUAAACAAGAGUCUUGCUUUAUUUUUAAGAAGAAAGUAAUUUUCUUUUUUGGUGAAGAAGCCAAAAUAGUGAAAGGGGACAAGAAGACCCUUUUGAGCUUUACUAAUUUUUAUCUUUUUGGUAUUAAUACUAGUUUGGUUGGGGCGACCUAGGAAGUGGAUCUUCCUUAAUAUAUGUUGAUCCGCAGUUUGUGAUUAAAAAAACAAGUUACCAUAGGGAUAACAGCGUAAUCUUUUUUGAGAGUUCUUAUUAAAAAAAUGGAUUGCGACCUCGAUGUUGACUUAUAAUUUCCUUUUGGUGCAGCCGCUAAUAAGGAAGGUCUGUUCGACCUUUAAAAUUUU
rnacentral:rRNA from 1 species